CCAGUAACGGCGAGUGAAGCGGCAAAAGCUCAAAUUUGAAAUCCUGCGGGAAUUGUAAUUUGAAGGUUUCGUGGUCUGAGUCGGCCGCGCCCAAGUCCAUUGGAACAUGGCGCCUGGGAGGGUGAGAGCCCCGUAUGGCGCACGCCGACUCUUUGUACACCGCGGCUCCGACGAGUCGAGUUGUUUGGGAAUGCAGCUCUAAGUGGGUGGUAAAUUCCAUCUAAAGCUAAAUAUUGGCGAGAGACCGAUAGCGAACAAGUACAGUGAUGGAAAGAUGAAAAGCACUUUGAAAAGAGAGUGAAACAGCACGUGAAAUUGUUGAAAGGGAAGGGCUUGCAAGCAGACACGGUUUUACCGGGCCAGCGUCGAAAAGGGGGGAGGAACAAGAACUCGAGAAUGUGGCGCGCACCUUCGGGCGCGCGUGUUAUAGCUCGUGUUGACGCCUCCAUCCCUUUUCGAGGCCUGCGAUUCUAGGACGCUG
rnacentral:rRNA from 1 species